rnacentral:rRNA from 1 species
UACGUAGGGGGCAAGCGUUAUCCGGAUUUACUGGGUGUAAAGGGAGCGUAGACGGAAUGUCAAGUCUGAAGUGAAAUCCCCGGGCUUAACCCGGGAACUGCUUUGGAAACUGGUAUUCUUGAGUGUCGGAGAGGUAAGCGGAAUUCCUGGUGUAGUAGUGAAAUGCGUAGAUAUCAGGAAGAACACCGGAGGCGAAGGCGGCUUACUGGACGAUAACUGACGUUGAGGCUCGAAAGCGUGGGGAGCAAAC